UUUUCGUAACCGGGUUAAAAAUGAAAGGGAAAAAUCAAUUUCCAGAAGGGGGAAUCUGUUCGUUUCUCUUUCUUUUUUCUUGUUCUCUCCGUCUGCAAUUUGUUCUUUUCAAAUUCAAGAAACAGAUAGCUAGGGAGAAUUCCUCUCUUUAAUUUCCUUCUGGCAUAUCUGCUUCUCAGAAAAGAGCCUUCUGCUCUUUCUAGAAAAUCUAGAAGAUAUGAAAAAUCACGAAAAGGGUACAUCCAGAUUUCUUCCGUGGAUGGUUUUAUGAAUGGGGUAGAGGAUUUCUUCCAUCAUGUUCUUCAAUUUAAGAAUUUUGUUUAGAGGCUUUGAUCAACUCUUCCUGCAUGCAUAAAUUGAGGUGAAGAAGCUGCGACAGGAGGUCAAUAUGACCACGGAAAUCAAAUCUCCCUACACCAGCAUAACUGCACACCUGAUGUUCGAUAAAUUGCCCGAAAGAACAGAAAAGAGGUCAAAUGUUCUUGUAGCUUUCUCUACAUAUUCGUUUCAUUAAUUUUGAAACUUUAUGAUUGCCAUGUGAUAUGGGUUUCCUUUCUAGCAUCUGUCUUGGUUACAAGUGACUGUUGGCACUCAUAAAUAUGUAUUUAGAGAAUUUGUAUUAAUUGUUUAGGAUCCGCUGUACAAAAUGUAAAACUGAAAUUAAGAAGCUUUAGACUAGUGGCCUGAUGCUAAUUAAGAAGCUUUGGACUGUUGGUAAGGAUGAUUAGCACCGGUUCAAUUCAUCUUUGAGUUUAUUGAUUUUGUUUUCUAAGGUACCAGAUUCACAACUGGUUGUUAUAUAUAUAGUUCAUUUCCUUAGAAAUGAUAUGCCAUAUGAAAUGAUUAUUGCUUAUAUCAAAUAAUGACCUCCAACUGGGAAUUGGACUAGAAUUUGAUUUUAAGGUUAGUUAACUAUUUUAUCGUUUCAUAAUGUAUGUGAAGUGAGAAUGAAUAGUACUAUGCACAAAAGUUGGAUUUUUCGGUGUGAACAUGCUAAUGUUAUAUUAGAGUUGGCAGUUAAGUGGUAGGGGCUAGGAAUAUCCUAUCUCAUGAAUGCCUCAUCUGAUUUCUUUGUAAACAACGGAUUAAUAUGAACAUUUUAAAGACAUAGGCAUUUUCUGGUGCUCUAUUCCUUCUUGUUCUGCCUGUUUGCUGUGGUUACGGACUAUAUGACACAAUUAUAGAUGAAACAUUUUAGUUAUUAUUUGGUUAACUAACAAGUGCUUGUUGAAAUGUCCGUGUGAUCACUAGACUGUCGGACUAGCGAAGUGGAAGUGUCUGCCCAUUCUAAGGUACGGACUAGCUCUGGUUUAGUAAGUACUAAAUGACGAUUUAUAACGGUGUCAUUUGUUGUUUGAGGAAAAGAAAGGUUCUCUGUACAUUGGGAUAGAUGGAUGAGGGUAUAGAAUUUUAAAAUGAUAAGAUUAGAUGCCUUCUUUGUGGUAUUUCAAUUACUUAUAAAAUGUAAGAUUUAUCUUUGGUUAAUUUUUAUACACCCCUGUAUCAUGUAGCUAGGUUGUGGAGCUAAACUUCAUGAGAUGAAGUGUUAACUUAUUGUAGACUUUGUACGCAGAAGUGACCUUUCAUUUAGUGGAUGAACUUAACCUGUAUGCAUAGGACCUUAAAUGGGCACAUAGCCAUUUCUAUUAACUGAUGAGUACAGUAAAAUCUAAAGAGAAAAAUUCUCUUAUAUGAAAAGCUUGAGGUGGCUGCUACUGUUUAAGGUGCUAAACAGUAGUUGAAUUUGAAUUAUGAAUUAAGAUCCUUCAAGCCUAUCAUGGGUAGGUUUCGACAGCAAGCAUUUUGGUUGUACUAAUUUAUCUUCCCUGUUGAUCCUUUAAUUGUACUGAACUUUCAAUUGUGCUAUUUAUAGUGCAACUGCCAUGUUGUUGGCACAAUGAAAAUAUAUAUCAUGACUGUUUAGAG